rnacentral:rRNA from 1 species
ACGAACGCUGGCGGCGUGCCUAAUACAUGCAAGUCGAACGCUUCUUUUUCCACCGGAGCUUGCUCCACCGGAAAAAGAGGAGUGGCGAACGGGUGAGUAACACGUGGGUAACCUGCCCAUCAGAAGGGGAUAACACUUGGAAACAGGUGCUAAUACCGUAUAACAAUCGAAACCGCAUGGUUUUGAUUUGAAAGGCGCUUUCGGGUGUCGCUGAUGGAUGGACCCGCGGUGCAUUAGCUAGUUGGUGAGGUAACGGCUCACCAAGGCGACGAUGCAUAGCCGACCUGAGAGGGUGAUCGGCCACAUUGGGACUGAGACACGGCCCAAACUCCUACGGGAGGCAGCAGUAGGGAAUCUUCGGCAAUGGACGAAAGUCUGACCGAGCAACGCCGCGUGAGUGAAGAAGGUUUUCGGAUCGUAAAACUCUGUUGUUAGAGAAGAACAAGGAUGAGAGUAACUGUUCAUCCCUUGACGGUAUCUAACCAGAAAGCCACGGCUAACUACGUGCCAGCAGCCGCGGUAAUACGUAGGUGGCAAGCGUUGUCCGGAUUUAUUGGGCGUAAAGCGAGCGCAGGCGGUUUCUUAAGUCUGAUGUGAAAGCCCCCGGCUCAACCGGGGAGGGUCAUUGGAAACUGGGAGACUUGAGUGCAGAAGAGGAGAGUGGAAUUCCAUGUGUAGCGGUGAAAUGCGUAGAUAUAUGGAGGAACACCAGUGGCGAAGGCGGCUCUCUGGUCUGUAACUGACGCUGAGGCUCGAAAGCGUGGGGAGCAAACAGGAUUAGAUACCCUGGUAGUCCACGCCGUAAACGAUGAGUGCUAAGUGUUGGAGGGUUUCCGCCCUUCAGUGCUGCAGCUAACGCAUUAAGCACUCCGCCUGGGGAGUACGACCGCAAGGUUGAAACUCAAAGGAAUUGACGGGGGCCCGCACAAGCAGUGGAGUAUGUGUUUUAUUUCGAAGCAACGCGAAGAACCUUACCAGGUCUUGACAUCCUUUGACCACUCUAGAGAUAGAGCUUCCCCUUCGGGGGCAAAGUGACAGGUGGUGCAUGGUUGUCGUCAGCUCGUGUCGUGAGAUGUUGGGUUAAGUCCCGCAACGAGCGCAACCCUUAUUGUUAGUUGCCAUCAUUUAGUUGGGCACUCUAGCAAGACUGCCGGUGACAAACCGGAGGAAGGUGGGGAUGACGUCAAAUCAUCAUGCCCCUUAUGACCUGGGCUACACACGUGCUACAAUGGGAAGUACAACGAGUCGCAAAGUCGCGAGGCUAAGCUAAUCUCUUAAAGCUUCUCUCAGUUCGGAUUGUAGGCUGCAACUCGCCUACAUGAAGCCGGAAUCGCUAGUAAUCGCGGAUCAGCACGCCGCGGUGAAUACGUUCCCGGGCCUUGUACACACCGCCCGUCACACCACGAGAGUUUGUAACACCCGAAGUCGGUGAGGUAACCUUUUGGAGCCAGCCGCCUAAGGUGGGAUAGAUGAUUGGGGUG